rnacentral:lncRNA from 1 species
GGGGGGGAGCACCCACUGAUGAAGUACCCCCCCCCCGCGCCCGGCGAGGGUGUCCCAGAACCUCUUACCUGCUGCACAGAGGGGCAGGAGUGAGGACGCCGCCAGCAGGGUGAGCAGGGAGCUCACCGCGCCCCGCCGCUGCGCUGGUGCCCCCCUGGCCGCCCGGGUGCGGACCAUGCUGCCCGCGGGGCUCCCUCCGGUUCUGCUUCGCCUGCGAGGGAGGCGGGAGGCGGGCGCCGUACAAAGAGCCCUUUGUGGUUCAGCCGCCCUGGUCCCCGCGGCGGCUGCCCCCUUGCAGAGGCGACCGGGGCUGGAAGUGGAGGCGCUGCCGGGAGCUCGCUGCGCCCGGUGACAGCCCGGGGCUGGGGGGAUUUCACCUCCUCGCUUCAGCGCUGCGCAGCUCGCCUCUGCUCCCCCUCCUGGCUCCUCCAGCCGCGUCCCAGUGCCCAGCAGGCGGGGGCGGGGGCGCCCGGGCUCCAGCCAGCUCUCACUGUAACGGGCCGUCCCGGACUGAGCGAGGAGCGAGCCCGGCCGCCUCCUCUGGCAUCCCAGCGUCACUGGGGGAAAUCUCACCCCGGGGAGGGGGGACGUGCCAAGCCCGCAGCUCACGCGCGGCGCGGCGCAGUGGGGAAGGAAAAGCCCUGCGCUUCAGCCCCCUCUGCCGGCAACCCAGCAAGCGCCGGGAGGGGGGAGGAGAGCGGGACUUCAGCCGCUUGAGGAGGCCCCCCGGGAGGGGCUUUUCCUGCUCAGUUCAGGGGCGGCUGGCUCAGGUGCAGUCCGAUCUCUGGCUCUGCCGGGAACUGGCCAGACGUCUGCGUUUGGCAAUUCACUCCCGUUUUCAGGUGACAAAACAGCCGCUUGCAGAGGACCAAGUACAACAAGCGAGUCCCCCAGGGAAAAGCUCUAGUAUUCAAGAUACCAAAAAAGCGUCCGAAAAGGAAAACGUGAAGGGAGAAACAAUACACCGCUUGAUGGGACUUGCCUCCCUUUCCUCAGCAGCAGAGAGAGCAGCUUUUUCACUUCCAUGCAGCGUCGAG